GUUAUAUAGUCAAGUGAUUAAGCGUACACGGUGGAUGCCUUGGCAGCCAGAGGCGAUGAAGGACGUUGUAGCUUGCGAUAAGCUUCGGGGAGGUAGCAAACAACCUUUGAUCCGGAGAUUUCCGAAUGGGGAAACCCACCUGUCAUAAGGCAGGUAUCGCAUACUGAAUACAUAGGUAUGCGAGGCGAACGCGGGGAACUGAAACAUCUAAGUACCCGUAGGAACAGAAAUCAAUUGAGAUUCCGUCAGUAGCGGCGAGCGAACGCGGAUUAGCCCUUAAGUCUGUGAAAGAUUAGGAGAACGGUCUGGGAAGGCCGGCCAUAGUGGGUGAUAGCCCCGUAUCCGAAAAUCUGAUCAGGUGAAAUCGAGUAGGUCGGAGCACGUGAAACUCUGAUUGAACAUGGGGGGACCAUCCUCCAAGGCUAAAUACUCCUGGCUGACCGAUAGUGAACCAGUACCGUGAGGGAAAGGCGAAAAGAACCCCGGAGAGGGGAGUGAAAUAGAACCUGAAACCGUGUACGUACAAGCAGUCGGAGCCCUCUUUGUGGGGUGACGGCGUACCUUUUGUAUAAUGGGUCAGCGACUUAAUUUCAGUAGCGAGGUUAACCGUUUAGGGGAGCCGUAGGGAAACCGAGUCUUAAUAGGGCGUUUAGUUGCUGGGAUUAGACCCGAAACCGGGCGAUCUAUCCAUGGGCAGGUUGAAGAUGCGGUAACACGCAUUGGAGGACCGAACCGACUACCGUUGAAAAGUUAGCGGAUGACCUGUGGAUCGGAGUGAAAGGCUAAUCAAGCUCGGAGAUAGCUGGUUCUCCCCGAAAGCUAUUUAGGUAGCGCCUCGGACGAAUACCACUGGGGGUA
rnacentral:rRNA from 1 species